rnacentral:misc_RNA from 1 species
AAUGUCGUAACAAGGUUUCCGUAGGUGAACCUGCGGAAGGAUCAUUAACGAGUUUUGGAAAUGGGGGUUGUAGCUGGCCUUUUAACCGAGGCAUGUGCACGCCCUGCUCAUCCACUCUCAACCUCUGUGCACUUACUGUAGGUCGGUGAAAGGCUUGUGCUUUUGAUUAGUGCGAGCUGGAAGCCUUCCUAUGUUUCCACUACAAACGCUUCAGUUAUAGAAUGUCUUUUGGCGUAUAACGCAUUUCAUAACAA